AUCUGCCAUAAGACACCAAUUUUAUAUUCUCCUAUGAACUUGUUAGUAUUCUUUAUAUAGUAGUAAUCUUCAUGUGGGUUUCUCAAAAUGAUAGACUGGACCUGAAGGCCAUGUGGGUUUUGCAGAUAUGGAUAUGGUUCUUCUGAAUAGAAGAAUCCAAUUGUGGUUUUUAGAGGAUCAUUACUUGAAUGCAGAUCCAACUGUAGAACGUUAUUGAUGUGUUAGAAACUUAAAAUUGUAGUUCAUGGUGGGGUUAGUGGGCAUGUUGCUUGCUCCAUCUGUCAUUUUCCAAUCUUCAAUUGCACAUGGAGCAUUGUCUCUGCAAAUUAUUUAGGUCUAUACCUUCAAUCUGCUGAAAAAAUCAGUCAUUAUUGAUUUGUGUCGGUGGAAUUAUUGAUUUCCAUUGCAUUUAACUGUAAAUUUGUCAGGAAAAUGACCAAAAUCUCUAAAAUCACAGUAGUAUUCAUUGGCUAAAAAUGCUAUUUUUGAUGCUAUAACUCUGAAGAAUCAGAUUUGUUUAGUAGGCUGAUGGCAGAUGAUAAUGCUAAGCAGUCCUUGCUUUCUGAGACGGUUGAUCCUUUUCAUUUGAAUGAAAGCAAUGCCCUCAAGAGAAGGAAAAUCCGCCGUUGUGGGAGUGCUCCUUCAUCAGUUAUGAAUUGCUCGGGACACAAUGGCAUUGGGUCUCUUCCACAUCUUAAAUCCAUGUUUGUGAAACUAGAACCUAGUUUCAAACAAGUAUUCAUCUUAUUGGCUGCCUAUCUCGCUGUUGGGACUCUCUGCUUCUACCUAAUUAGGGAUCAGAUCAAGGGUAGGAAAACGAAUGGGGUUCUUGAUGCUGUUUACUUCUGUGUUGUGACAAUGACCACUGUUGGAUAUGGGGAUCUCGUGCCUGAUACCAUUUUGGCGAAGCUACUGGCCUGUGUUUUUGUCUUCAGUGGCAUGGCUCUUGGUGGGCUAAUUCUUAGUAGAGCAGCAGACUAUAUUGUAGAAAAGCAGGAAGUCCUUUUAGUUAAGGCCAUGCACAGGCAUGAAAAAGCUGGUCCUGCUGAGAUUCUGAAGGAUGUUGAGACCAACAAAGUCAAAUACAAAUUUUUUCUGGCCCUGAUCCUUCUUUUGGUGCUUAUAAUUGUGGGAACCCUCUUGUUGUCCUUAGUGGAGAAACUGAGUUUCAUUGAUGCCUUCUACUGUGUCUGUGUCACCGUCACUACUCUGGGGUACGGCGAUGAGAGUUUCUCUACUGGAGUUGGUCGUGCAUUUGCUGUUUUUUGGAUACUUAGCAGUACCAUUUGUUUAGCUCAGUUCUUUCUCUACCUUGCUGAACUAUACACCGAAGGCAGGCAAAGAUCACUAGUCAAAUGGGUUCUUACUCGAAAAAUGACAUUCUCAGAUCUUGAGGGAGCAGAUCUUGAUCACGAUCAAGCUGUCUGUGCUGCUGAGUUCAUCUUAUACAAGCUCAAAGAAAUGGGAAAGAUCAGCCAGGAAGAUAUGUUGCUUUGGAUGGAGAGGUUUAAAGAUCUUGAUGUUGAUGGCUCAGGAACUUUGACAAGAGCUAACCUAAUGCUUUCCCAGUGACAUUGAACUAACCUUAUCGAGCUGGUACUCUAAUUUUGUAAAACAUGUAUAGCUUUUUUUCCCUUCUUUUCAUAAAAGGAUUAUGCUUUCCAUAAUUUACAGAAUUAGCAGCCAUUAUUUCAUUGUAUCUCACCUGUAUGCUCAUCUAUUGAUGCCUGAAGACCCAAAUGAAACUAUGAUCUUUACUUUGCUAGAUGCUGAGCUCUUUGCUACCAUUAUGGUCAGUAAUAGCAUGACUUCUAGCAAUUUAUUCCCAAUUCAUGCUUCAGUUCUAAACAACUUUUAUCUAUUUAAGGGGAGUAAUAAAAUGGUAACUGUACAAUUACUUUUAUGGAGCAUUAUAUAAUCCUUAUCUUGCUUGUGUUAUCUGCCUUUUUGCUUACUUGUACUAGAAUUGUAUACAUUGCUGCUGUGAAUAGUUUCUAUUGUGAUAAUUGCACACAUGUUUUGUACUAUCUGGGCAGCAAAAACUAUUAUAUGAUCAAAUGGGAAAUCAGAAAUGUAGUCUCCAUUAAUACUACUUCCUAAGAAUUGAGAUGGUUAUUUAACUUCUACCGGUAUUUGUUAUGGCUUCCUGAAUAUUUACCAUCUAUUAUUUAUGACUAGUCAUAGUAGCAGGGAAAAGCUGGAAAAGGCAUGGCUACGUGAGGAUUUUCACCUUGAAACGUAUCCUAGAUAUUGGGAGGAUGUGUUCUCAUCUGAUGGAAAAAUUGAAGAAAAUGGUAGUAUUUCAAUGUUGAACUCUGCCUUGACACACAAUGUGAAGGGAGUUAAAUUUCAGGUUUCUUGCCAUGGUAUCUGGUUAAGGGUGGAAAUCUGGUCAGUACUUGGAAUUCAAGGAGCUUGAACCAAGCCUAGUUUGGACUCUGGAUGAAUCCCUUUCUUUGUGGUUUGAUUCAGAGCAUGCCUAGUUUUGACCUUCUCCAUCGUAUUUGUCUCCUUGAACAGGUUGACAUUUUUUUAGCAAUCAAUCGGUCUGUGCCAUAUUCAAGGAGAAAACAGUGAAAAAGAAUAUAUAACCAACACAAGUGCUAGGUGGUGAAAGCUGGCCAAACACGAUCAUUAUCAUCAACAACACAGCUGUGGAGACAAAGAGAGGCCAGAAGUAUGCAAGAAUGGUUAGGAAGCGAGGCGCCACUUGAAACAGCAAGGCGAGGAUUAUUGAAACGACGACUGUUAUGAUGAAGUGAUAUUGAUACUGCAUUAGCUUUGUUUGGAUCUCCAUGGUUCCCUUCAUUCUUGAAGUAUGAAGAUUGUUUCCCCCUUUGCAGGGAUCCUAUGCUGCAAAUGCCGCUUUCAAGAAUUUCCCCUGUCUUGGUUCAUCCAUCUGCUAUUUAUUUUCUCAGGUGAACCAUUCUUCUGAAGCUCUAAUGACCAAAAUACCUUCCUUCCUCAGCAUAACCUUAGACCCAACUGUAAGGAACUUCACCAGUUAUAAUUACCAAAUAAUGAAUUCCCAAAUACCUUUAUGAUUCUGUUGUUGCUCUGGUUGGGUCUGGUAUCUACUGCAGCUGGGGUUAGGUGCUUGAUUUCAUGUAUCACCAACCUUGAGGGUAAUUGCAGAUGGCUGGAGGGGUCCUUUGGUAAUUACAGGAGAACCAAGAGAACAUUUUGGUAUAUAUUCUUCAUCCACUCCUUUGAUUCGAUGGUUGCUUUGUCCCUUUUCAAGUGCCUACUUUUCAAUUGGAAUGAAGAUUAAGAUACAGGAAAGGCAUAGCUUCUUUUUUUCUCCUUUAUGGUAAUGAAUUGAGGAAAGGAUUAGCUGAUCAAACAAGAAAUGAGAGUCAUCUUGGCCAAGUUUAUUCUUCUUUUGGACUUUCACUAUUAAAUAUGAUUACUUUGUGGGAGGGUUUUGUAGAUAUCAUCCAUUGUCUCUUUCUUUUGUGAUUCUAUACUUUCAUAUUGAUGAAAUCAUUAUUUCUAUGCUCA